GAUGAAGAACGUAGCGAAAUGCGAUAAGUAAUGUGAAUUGCAGAAUUCAGUGAAUCAUCGAAUCUUUGAACGCACAUUGCGCCCGCCAGUAUUCUGGCGGGCAUGCCUGUCCGAGCGUCGUUUCAACCCUCGAACCCCUCCGGGGGGUCGGCGUUGGGGAUCGGCCCUGCCUCUUGGCGGUGGCCGUCUCCGAAAUACAGUGGCGGUCUCGCCGCAGCCUCUCCUGCGCAGUAGUUUGCACACUCGCAUCGGGAGCGCGGCGCGUCCACAGCCGUUAAACACCCAACUUCUGAAAUGUUGACCUCGGAUCAGGUAGGAAUACCCGCUGAACUUAAGCAUAUCAAUAAGCGGAGGA
rnacentral:misc_RNA from 1 species